AUCAAACUAUUGUGAAGCAAGCAAGCGACUCUGCAGGGUUGUGAGGGUUGAGAGAAGCACCGGAAUCGUUGUGCUUUAUGAGCGUGUCUGUUAAGGUGUGUUGCUUUGCAGCAGUUUCGCUAUCAAAUUUCUCGUGUGUUGUAACGACUUGCAUUUGUCUUGGUCUGCUAGCUUUCUUGUUGAAGUUGAUGUUGGGUUUAGAGCUCUUUCGCACUUCGGAAACCCUCGAUUCCGAGAAGAAGUUACGUCAGAAGAGUUUUUGGUGAUAAUAUCAUCCUCAGGCACCUUUCAAGCUGCAGUUCAUCGGAUUUUGUGCAACCCCGGGCCCUGUAAUUGCCACUUGAAACUUCUUCCGCAGGAGCCGGGCGCGAAUUCUUUCAGAAAAGCAAAGGUGUUGUAAAGUUCGGUGAUAGCUCUCCAUCAGCUACGAUGAAAACGCAGAUUACCAACAGUACGACAACAAAAUUCACUUUGAAUGAAGGGAAUGCAGGAGCGUUCCGCGCGAUUGCUGAGUUGGGACCUUAUGGGCAUCACAAGAUUGAUGUGAAUACUAAUGCUACUUAUCGAACAUACAUGGCGGCUACUGGAAGUAAGGAUGAAACCGUGGAAAUAUCCUACGACGAAAUUCUUGAAUUCGGUACUAUUGUACUGGUCAAGGAUGAGAAGACAGGAAAAUUUGGGUGCGAGUUCAGAAAUUCCAGACUGAAGAAACCAAGUUGGAAAGAAUGGUUCAGCAAAUUAAAACCGGACACUAAACCAAAACCGGGCACUUCGAGUACCUAAAUCUUCCAGGAAAAGUUGGUUUGUGUUUAUGCUAUUAUAUUGAUGAAUUUGUGUUAAUGAUUUUGUAUCAAAGACUGCUGAUGCAUUUAUUUUUGUACAUUGUCAUUGCAGGUAGUGCAAUGAAUGUUUUCAAAUAUAAAAGAAUUGUAAAAAAGAAUUGUCUAAAAUCAUGUUUAUUUAUUUA